AGAAGGCCUUCGGGUUGUAAAGCUCUGUCCAGGGGGAAGAAACAAAUGACGGUACCCCUGGAGGAAGCCCCGGCUAACUACGUGCCAGCAGCCGCGGUAAAACGUAGGGGGCAAGCGUUGUCCGGAAUUACUGGGCGUAAAGGGCGUGUAGGCGGCAAUGUAAGUCAGGAGUGAAACCCGCCGGCUUAACCGGCGGCCUGCUUCUGAAACUGCAUGGCUUGAGUGCAGGAGAGGGAAGUGGAAUUCCCAGUGUAGCGGUGAAAUGCGUAGAUAUUGGGAGGAACACCAGUGGCGAGAGCGGCUUCCUGGCCUGUAACUGACGCUGAGGCGCGAAAGCGUGGGGAGCAAACAGGAUUAGAUACCCUGGUAGUCCACGCCGUAAACGAUGGGUGCUAGGUGUUGGGGGUAUCGACCCCUCCAGUGCCGCAGUUAACGCAAUAAGCACCCCGC
rnacentral:rRNA from 1 species